rnacentral:lncRNA from 10 species
UGAAGUUAUUGAACAUGGGACAUUACCCCAUGCAAUUGUAUGCAACCAAUAACAACCAUGAAAUCAAUCUAUCAACAAAAAGAAUGUCUAGUGUGUCACAUUCAGCAAAAAACAAUCAGGCCCAAAACUCUGUUCACAGUGUGGUUAUAAUUAUGCAAGAACAAUCACGUGCAGAUACAAACCAGAGUAAAAUAUACCAAGAAGAGACCCUUUCCUCCUUUCUGCAAUUUCCCAAUGAUUAUGUGUUGCUUCUCUGACACAUUUACCUGUGUACAGCCGUAUCACUUUCUCAGAGAAUAAUACACAGAGACGGGACAUGGAGCUGGGCAGCACUGGCAACCCUGUACUCUGGAGCCCACCCUCUUUGGAGCUCAUCCUUCCUGCUAAUGAGCAGGGAGUAGUUUUCAAAGCUAGGCUCUUGUGAUAGAGAGCUGUGACAGGACUGAACAUGGAUUCUUGUACCUGAUUCAUCCUUCCUAGCCUAGCUCAUCUACUCAUCCACUCUGGCCAACCCAGGCCCUGACUUCCAGAACAUAGGACCCAUUUUUAUCUUUCUCUAUGGCCCCUGAGGGCUCUGGUCAGCCAGAGGAGAAGCCCAGAGCUCAAGGCUCCUCGUGGGGUGCCUGGAAAAAGGCUGCCACUCCCCUUCACUGCACUCACUGUCUCUACCUCCAUAUCUACAGCUCCCAUUUCUCCCCAUUUGGGCUUCCAGCCCUGUUGUUCCACUGAAACGUCCAUGCCAAGGCCACCAAGGAUGUCUGUGGUGGCAAAUCUGAUUAUUGCUUCUCUGUCUUCAUCCUACUUUUCCUGUGCAACAGCAUUCAACACAGUGACCAUCCCUUUUUUUUUUUUCUGAGACAGAGUCUCACUCUGUCUCCCAGGCUGGAGUGCAGUGGCACGAUCUCAGCUCACUGCAACCUCUGCCUCCCGGGUUCAAGCGAUUCUCCUGCCUCGGGACUCCUGAUUAGCUGGGACUACAGGCAUGUGCCACCACACCUGGCUAAUUUUUUGUAUUUUUCGUAGAGACGGGGUUUCACCGUGUUAGCCAGGACGGUCUCAAUCUCCUGACCUCGUGAUCCGCCCACCUCAGCCUCCCAAAGUGCUGGGAUUACAGGCCUGAGCCACCCGCCCAGCCGUGACCAUCCCUUUCUUAUGAUACUUGCUUUUAGAAGCUUCCAAUAAACUAUACCUCUUGUUUUUUCUCUUAGCCGGCUGCUCCCUCUCAGUCUACUUUUCUGGAUCCUUCAUGUCUCCCCAACCUCUGCCACAGGAUUGAGUCCCCUUUUCAUCUCUCUGCACAUUCUCUCCUCUUGUCUGAUCUUGUGGCUUUGGACCCCAUAUAAAUCAUGAUGUCUCCCAAAGCUGUGCCACAAGAUUCAUCAUUUCAACUGCCUUCGUGACACCUUGAAUGUCUAAUAGUAUCUUGAAAUGAGAGUGGCCAAUGCUGCAAACCAUCCCCUCCACAUACAGUCUCCUCAUCUUAAGAGACAGCACCUCCAUCUCUCUAGCAGCCCAAGGCAACACUCUAGCAGUCACCUUGGUGCCUCUCUCCCUCUUACAUGUCCAUCUAUGACUGAAUGGUUUUGACAUUUGUCCCUGCCAAAUCUCAUGUUGAAAUGUAAUCCCCAACGUUGGAAGUAGGGCCUGGUGGGAGGUGUUUGGAUCACGGGGGGCCGAUCCCUCAUGAAUGGCUUAGUGCCAUCCCCUUGGUGAUAAGUGAGUUUACCUGAGAUCUGGUUAUUUAAAAGUGUAUGAAGGCCAGGCACAGUGGUUCACGCCUGUGAUCCCAGCACCUUAGGAGGCCGAGGCAGGCGUGAGCUACCGCGCCUGGCCAGCGACCACAAUCUUUAAGAGGCUGACCUUCAAACUUUUGCAGAACCUGGAGUGAGCAUUACCAAACCUAAGACUGUGACACUCCAUAGUGACAAGUCUGGAAGCUGUGGAAGAUACUUUGGGGAAGAGGAAAGUGGGAGAGGCUUUCCCCUAUCCCCUGCCCACUUCCAGGAUAUAGCCUAUGUUUUUGUGCUCUUUUCUAAAUGCAGAGAAAACCCUGAGGGCUUCUUGAAUGGUGUGAGAAGUGAUGGUGGUUCUUGAUGCUGGCAACCACCAGCCAGAAAGAGACCACUAGAGGUGGCCACCUGGGGCCAACCUCCCCAGACCCAGUUGUGGAGCAGUAUCACUCAAGGAGCCUGCAGUAAAUGCAUGCACCAUCCACGCUCAGGCAGGUUUUCAAGGUGGAGGCCCCAGGGAGGUUCUGAUGGGGCCCAGAGCCGGGGUAACCCCAGAGUCCAGGGACCAGCAGGGACUGUGGAGUCUGAGAAGACUUGGCUCAUCAGGAGGUGUUAGGUAUAAAAUGGGUGCGAAUGGCACCUGCCUGUGACUGCUGCAAGGGUUACAUGAGCUGAGGGGUUCAGGAUCCAUCUGUCAAUAAUGCAAGUUUUCCUUUUUCCUUCCAUUGGACAGGAGGUCCCAGGCAGUGAGGAACCUCAGGUCUGGCAACAUGAGAACUGCUCGGCUCACCUGGAAAACACAACUGGUGCUGGCUUAAGAAUGCCCCAGGGAGAGCUUGUCAAGGAAGACUCUAACCAAGGGUGGGCAUGAGCCAGGGGUUGAUGGUGAUUCGCAUGGGAAUCAUCCUGGGCUGUCUCUGAGCAUCCAGCCACAGUCCCAGUCACCCUUGGAGAGGAACGUCUGCCCUGAGGCCGUGCUACUUGAAUCUGGGAGAAAUUGUGAGGAGAGUUCCUCCACUCUGGCUUCAUCAUUGCCAAUUCCCAGGCGAAGCUGCCCCAAACCACUCGCUUGUCACUUCUCUUCAGUCCAAGGGUCCCUAAUGGCUCCCUGUUGCCUCCAGAGUGGUGUCCAUACUCAGCCUGGCAUUUCUUUUUCCACCCCAGG